UAAUACGUAGGGUGCGAGCGUUAAUCGGAAUUACUGGGCGUAAAGCGUGCGCAGGCGGUUCGUUAAGACAGCUGUGAAAGCCCCGGGCUCAACCUGGGAACUGCGGUUGUGACUGGCGAGCUAGAGUAUGGCAGAGGGGGGUGGAAUUCCACGUGUAGCAGUGAAAUGCGUAGAGAUGUGGAGGAACACCGAUGGCGAAGGCAGCCCCCUGGGCCAAUACUGACGCUCAGGCACGAAAGCGUGGGGAGCAAACAGGAUUAGAUACCCUGGUAGUCCACGCCCUAAACGAUGUCAACUGGUUGUUGGGGGAGGCUAUCCCUUAGUAACGAAGCUAACGCGUGAAGUUGACCGCCUGGGGAGUACGGUCGCAAGAUUA
rnacentral:rRNA from 1 species